rnacentral:misc_RNA from 1 species
UCUCCGUAGGUGAACCUGCGGAGGGAUCAUUACUGAGUGAGGGCCUUCGGGCUCGACCUCCAACCCUUUGUGAACACAACUUGUUGCUUCGGGGGCGACCCUGCCUUUCGGGCAGUGCGCCCCCGGAGGAUAUCAAAACGCUGCAUCUUUGCGUCGGAGUAUCAAUCAAAUUGAACAAAACUUUCAACAACGGAUCUCUUGGUUCUGGCAUCGAUGAAGAACGCAGC